rnacentral:rRNA from 1 species
GACGAACUGUCCUAACGUUGUUCGGAAUUACUGGGCGUAAAGGGCGCGCAGGCGGCUGCUCAAGUCAGGCGUGAAAGGCCUGGGCUCAACCCGGGAAUUGCGCUUGAGACUGGGCUGGCUUGAGUGCGGGAGAGGAUGGUGGAAUUCCCAGUGUAGAGGUGAAAUUCGUAGAUAUUGGGAAGAACACCGGUGGCGAAGGCGGCCAUCUGGACCGCAACUGACGCUGAGGCGCGAAAGCGUGGGGAGCAAACAGG